GGUGGUGCGGCGGGGGCAGGGAUGAGCCCGGGCGCCUGGGCCCCUCUCCCGCCAGGGUGGGGCGCGGCGGGGACGUUGAGCCCGGACGCCUGGGCCCCGCUGAGGCAGCCCUCCGGCGUUUCCAGCCAAGCCCGAGAACCGUGCGGAGCGGCGGGAGGUGGCCGCCGGCAGCGUCCCCACGCCAGUGGCCACCUGCACGGCGGCCGGCGGCCACCCGGCCGCCAACAUCUCCUGGGAGUCGCCGGUGCCGGGGACCGCGGAGGCCUCGGCCGAGGCGGCCGCCGACGGCGCCGUCACUGUCACCAGCCGCUUCAGCAUCGUCCCCACCCGGGCGGCCGACGGGCAGCGCCUGGCCUGCGUCGUCAGCCACCCCAGCCUGCCGCAGCCCGAGAGCCUCCCCGUCACCCUCUCCGUGCUGUACCCCCCCGUGGCCUCCAUCAGCGGCUACGACCACAACUGGUACCUGCAGCGGCGCGAAGCGGCACUGCACUGCGACGCCGUGGGCAACCCUGCGCCCACCACCUUUGCCUGGAGCACGUCGUCGGGGCCGCUGCCGCCCUCGGCGGAGGCGCGGGGCAGCCGGCUGCUGGUGCACACGGUGGAUCUGCUGGCCAACACCACCUUCAUCUGCCGCGCGUCCAACGCCCUGGGCAGCGCCGCCGCCCGGCAGCCCGUC
rnacentral:lncRNA from 1 species